UGUUGUACUGUUAUAUCACUGUCCCAGGUUAGGGGAGGGUUGGGAUCCCGCUAACAUGUUUAACCCAGCCACAUUAUUUAUGUAUGUGCCUGUCCCAAGUCAGGAGCCUGUAAUUCAGUGGUUGUCGUUUGUUUAUGUGUUACAUAUUUGUUUUUCGUUCAUUUUUUUUACAUAAAUAAGGCCGUUAGUUUUCUCGUUUGAAUUGUUUUACAUUGUCUUAUCGGGGCCUAUUAUAACUGACUAUGCGGUAUGGGCUUUGUUCACUGUUGAAGGCCGUACGGUGACCUAUAGUUGUUAAUGUC
rnacentral:lncRNA from 1 species